rnacentral:rRNA from 1 species
GACGAACGCUGGCGGCGUGCCUAAUACAUGCAAGUUGAGCGCUGAAGGUUGGUACUUGUACCAACUGGAUGAGCAGCGAACAGGUGAGUAACGCGUGGGGAAUCUGCCUUUGAGCGGGGGACAACAUUUGGAAACGAAUGCUAAUACCGCAUAAAAACUUUAAACACAAGUUUUAAGUUUGAAAGAUGCAAUUGCAUCACUCAAAGAUGAUCCCGCGUUGUAUUAGCUAGUUGGUGAGGUAAAGGCUCACCAAGGCGAUGAUACAUAGCCGACCUGAGAGGGUGAUCGGCCACAUUGGGACUGAGACACGGCCCAAACUCCUACGGGAGGCAGCAGUAGGGAAUCUUCGGCAAUGGACGAAAGUCUGACCGAGCAACGCCGCGUGAGUGAAGAAGGGUUUCGGAUCGUAAAACUCUGUUGGUAGAGAAGAACGUUGGUGAGAGUGGAAAGCUCAUCAAGUGACGGUAACUACCCAGAAAGGGACGGCUAACUACGUG